rnacentral:tRNA from 1 species
GGAGAGAUGGCUGAGCUGGUCGAAGGCGCUCGACUCGAAAUCGAGUAGGGGGUGAUGAGCCUCCUCGUGGGUUCGAAUCCCACUCUCUCCGCCA